AUGCUGUUAGUAUAAGUGAAGUAUUCUGUCUUUCCAAGUCAGAGGUCCGCGGAAGCGGGUAGUAUA
rnacentral:tRNA from 2 species